rnacentral:snRNA from 1 species
GGCUGUGAAGGCGAACUGGCUUCCACAGCUGUCACCCCACUGAUUACCAGGGCUGACUGAGCUGCUCUGGCUGGCUAGGUGGCUGUCCCCUUCCUCCGUCACCGCUCCAUGUGCGUCCAGCCAGAGGCUGCUCACUCAGUGGAAGAGGACGACCUUCCCCAAGAGGAUAGCCUAUCAAGGCAGCAGUUGUGCUCGCUUCCCUGCUAGAACUUCCAAACGCGCUCUCCAGAAAGCUUGCUGCAGUGCAGAGGACUCGGGCUUCUUUAGCGGCACCUGCACC